rnacentral:rRNA from 1 species
GACGGAGGGGGCAAGCGUUGUUCGGAAUUAUUGGGCGUAAAGGGCGCGUAGGCGGCCUGUUAAGUCGGACGUGAAAUCCCUCGGCUCAACCGGGGAACUGCGUCCGAUACUGGCGGGCUUGAAUUCGGGAGAGGGAUGUGGAAUUCCAGGUGUAGCGGUGAAAUGCGUAGAUAUCUGGAGGAACACCGGUGGCGAAGGCGGCAUCCUGGACCGACAUUGACGCUGAGUGAGCGAAAGCCAGGGGAGCAAACGGG